UACGGAGGGAGCUAGCGUUGUUCGGAAUUACUGGGCGUAAAGCGCGCGUAGGCGGCUCUGUAAGUUAGAGGUGAAAGCCCGGGGCUCAACCCCGGAACUGCCUUUAAGACUGCAUCGCUUGAAUCCGGGAGAGGUGAGUGGAAUUCCGAGUGUAGAGGUGAAAUUCGUAGAUAUUCGGAAGAACACCAGUGGCGAAGGCGGCUCACUGGACCGGUAUUGACGCUGAGGUGCGAAAGCGUGGGGAGCAAACAGG
rnacentral:rRNA from 1 species